rnacentral:lncRNA from 1 species
AAGAGUAUGGGGAGAAUACUUUUGAGUAAUAGGUCAAUGACAAAUGAUGCUGUAUAUACAGUUAAAUAAACACCACAGAGGGACAAACAAUUGAACACAAAUAAUUAACUGAAAACGAAGAGUGUCUGAUCGCUGGCUCCAUCAAAAUGCCCAGCCCAUAAGGAGCAGAGGACUGGACUGACUGAGUGUCACCUGGGCACAGGUGUGGAGGCCCAGCAGGGCACAGGUGUGGAGGCCCAGCAGGGCACAGGUGUGGAGGCCCAGCAGGGCACAGGUGUUGGGGGCACAGAGGCCCAGGCGGGCACAGGUGUGGAGAUCAUGAACAGAGGCCCAGCCGGGCACAGGUGUCAAGGUCACGGAGAGAGAACCAGCUGGUGGUGGAGUGGUCCGUACAGGAGCGGAGGACUGAUGCGGUUAGAGGUGUGGACUGGAUGGUGGGACUCCUACAAAGUCAUCUGAUUGGCAGCAUGUUUUUUUGCAUCACUCUUCAUCAAUGCCACCAAAUACCCAGCAUACCACAGAGCAUUUUCAACAACCUACUUGAAGGUCUGCUUCCUCAGAAGGCUGAACUGCCUUGUUGCUGGGUUGCCAACUCGGGGCAGUACAGCCCUCCUGGCCAAAUUUAUCCAGAGCUUUAGCCCUGGUGUACUUUUUCAGAACCGUCUCCUGAAAUGGCAAGCAUCCUGUCAAAAAUCAAAUCACAUUUGAAUCAUCAUAUAUACAGAAUACAGCGGGGUGUAAACAGUGCAAUGAAAUGCUUACUUACAAGCUACCUCUCAACAUACCCCCAAGACAUGCUGUAUGACAAGAGGUAUGAUAUUUGUGCAUCUAACUUUCUCACUCAUCAUUAUUCACAAUUCAUCAGGACUAUCUGUAAUCCUGGUAACAUCCACAUUAAUGUAGAAGUGUUUAGAAACAUAUUAUAUUCUUAUUUACAAUAAGUGACUCCAAAAUGACACAAUACAUGAUUUAUCGGUCAUUUCUAUUGGGCACAAAAUAAUCUCAAACACAACCAAAACAAAGAGCAAAUGUUUGUAGUCACAAGCUUGAUGUAAUCAUUGCAUGCUAGGAAUAUGGGACCAAAUACUAAACUUUUGACUACUUUCCUCUUAAAAUGGGGGGACUAUGUACAAAAAGUGCUAUAAUAAAAAGUGCUGUAAUAUGGAUGAAAAUACCCUCAAAUUAAAGCUGACAGUCUGCACUUUGUAUCAUUGCAAAUUGAAAGUGCUGGAGUACAGAGCCGAAACAACAAAACAUUUCACUAUCCCAAUCCUUUAUAUGGAGUAUUUGGCUGUUUUGACUGCCAGAGCCAAUUCACGCUUUAAAAACAACAUUCAUGGUCCAUGGACUAAGGAGUAACGUUAGCCCGAACAGGAACGUAGGACAGGGGAAUGACGAGCACAAGUGUGGAGGACAGAGGCCCGGGUGGUGGAGUAGCCCGUACAGGAGUGGAGGACAUGGGACUGACUGAUGCAGCUGUGGACUGGAUGCUGGUAGAGGGGGUGGGAGUAGGACGGAAGGUGCCAACAAGAGGCAGGGCUGUCUCCAGCACAGGAACUGUCAGGUCCUGAUAUUCCACAAGCUCGACAAAGCCCUCAUCAUCCUCCUCUUGGACAUCAGGAUCACCUGUCUCCAGUUCCUCAAUGGCAGCCUUGCAAUCCUGCAGCACCAAACCAGUCUGAUCAAAGAGGUACUCCAAACCUAUCAGCUCCCC